CUAAAGUUUACUAUAUUGUUUUUGCAUCAUUACACGUGAAGUGAAGUGAAGUGAGAGAUAGAAUGAGAAAUCUCAUCACCAUUCACCACAACCAAUACAGUUCGAAAUCAUAUUCAUCAUCUCUCUCUUCCUCUUUGGUUUCUCCGAAAUUUCAUUCUUCCAUCUCUCAUCUAUGAUUUAUCCGCCGAAAACCAUAGUUUCGUAAAAUCUUCCAGAUCUCUAUCUCUUUACUGGGUUCGACGAGGAAACCUCGAAAUAAAUCUCUUUCCAUCUCAAUCGCCUAAACCUCUCUGGCGGAACCCCUAUAGCCUGAUUCUGUUCUCUCGUCUCACCAACGAGGAAUCCCCGGAACAAAACUCCUUCUAUCUUAAAGCUUUCAUCGAUCUCUUCCAGCAGCAAGCCGCUCUCAGCAUGUCUUCCGUCGGAGGCAUUGGUUCUGACCCUUCCGUCGCCAAAGACCUCGGCAAUAGAGCCAUGUUCCUAGCUCACGUCACUCGAUUUUACCGCAAAUAGCUCGUGCCUCGCGAUGCCCUCAAUGCUAAGGAAACAUGUCCCGAUGUCCCGCAAGCGUUGAUUCUUCUUAUCAAUCGAAAGUUAUGUGCUUUAAUGUAAAUUGAUUGUAAUGAAAAGGUGUGUGCUUGAGAAUGAUUUUGAAUGUAAUUUCUGAACUCCAGACUCUAUGGUGCUGAUAGUGGUUAAUCAAGCGGAGAUGGCAUCUUAGGAUCCAACGGUGGACGAGACAGUCCUAUCUUGUCACCGGCCCACCGCCUUCGGGGAUGGAGUCUGAUGAGGGAACUGCUCUCAGAUAAUGGAAAAGUUGCUAUAAAUUGUAGUUUAUUUCAGGUUCGCGAAGCUAGUUGAUAGUUUGAAGACCACUCAGUUCGGUGGCAUUUCAGUUUCCAGCAAAGAUCUUGUAGAUAUUGCGGAGAACCAAAGCCAAUUUCAACCAAUAUAUGGGAUUAUUUACUUAUCUCUAUGGCUGGAUACAUGUUAUAGUAACUGGUUAAGAUAAACAUUAUACAGCUAAGCAAUAUUAAUACCAACCAAAGCUCAUGUACGUUAUGUUUCAGGUCUAUUAACGUUAGUGGCAUUUCAGUUUCAAGCAAAGAUCUUAUAGAUAUUGCGGAGAGGACCAGGCCGAAAUUUA